rnacentral:rRNA from 1 species
AAGAUUUUAAUAGUCGAACAGACUAAAAAUAAUUAUUUCUUCAUAAAAAUUUUAUCUUAAUUCAACAUCGAGGUCGUAAUUAAUUUUUUCAAUGUGAUCUUUUUAAAAUUAUUACG